GAGAGAGUCAUAGGGGUUAUGAUAUUGGCUUGAAACCAUUUUCUGGGGGUUCAAUUCCUCCCUUUCUCG
rnacentral:tRNA from 1 species